rnacentral:rRNA from 1 species
CGGUUCUACGGGACGCAGCAGUGGAGAAUAUUGCACAAUGGGGGAAACCCUGAUGCAGCAACGCCGCGUGAGUGAAGAAGUAUUUCGGUAUGUAAAGCUCUAUCAGCAGGGAAGAAGAAAGACGGUACCUGACUAAGAAGCCCCGGCUAACUACGUGCCAGCAGCCGCGGUAAUACGUAGGGGGCAAGCGUUAUCCGGAUUUACUGGGUGUAAAGGGAGCGUAGACGGCAUAGCAAGUCUGAAGUGAAAGCCCGUGGCUCAACCGCGGAACUGCUUUGGAAACUGUUACGCU